rnacentral:rRNA from 1 species
UAUCACAGCCACAUCACGCUGCAUCCCCAGAGCAGUUACUCACUCAAGCUAAGCUGGGCUGAGCCUGGUCAGUACCUGGAUGGGAGACCGCAUGGGAAAACUAGGUUGCUGUUGGAA